GCCGCAUAAGCGCACAGCAUGGCAUCAUGCAGUGUGAAAAACUCCGGUGGUACAAGAUGGGCCCGCGUUGGAUUAGCUAGUUGGUGGGGUAACGGCCCACCAAGGCGACGAUCCAUAGCCGGACUGAGAGGUCGAACGGCCACAUUGGGACUGAGACACGGCCCAGACUCCUACGGGAGGCAGCAGUGGGGAAUAUUGCACAAUGGAGGAAACUCUGAUGCAGCGACGCCGCGUGAGUGAUGAAGUAUUUCGGUAUGUAAAGCUCUAUCAGCAGGGAAGAAAUUGACGGUACCUGACUAAGAAGCCCCGGCUAACUACGUGCCAGCAGCCGCGGUAAUACGUAGGGGGCAAGCGUUAUCCGGAUUUACUGGGUGUAAAGGGAGCGUAGACGGCGAUGCAAGUCUGAAGUGAAAACCUGGGGCUCAACCCCAGGAUUGCUUUGGAAACUGUAUUGCUAGAGUACCGGAGGGGUAAGCGGAAUUCCUAGUGUAGCGGUGAAAUGCGUAGAUAUUAGGAGGAACACCGGUGGCGAAGGCGGCUUACUGGACGGCAACUGACGUUGAGGCUCGAAAGCGUGGGG
rnacentral:rRNA from 1 species